UUUCUUCACGGAAAUUCAUUCUAUCUUGA
rnacentral:lncRNA from 1 species